rnacentral:rRNA from 1 species
GACGAACGCUGGCGGCGUGCUUAACACAUGCCAGUCGAACGGAAAGGCCCUGCUUUUGUGGGGUGCUCGAGUGGCGAACGGGUGAGUAACACGUGAGUAACCUGCCCUUGACUUUGGGAUAACUUCAGGAAACUGGGGCUAAUACCGGAUAGGAGCUCCUGCUGCAUGGUGGGGGUUGGAAAGUUUCGGCGGUUGGGGAUGGACUCGCGGCUUAUCAGCUUGUUGGUGGGGUAGUGGCUUACCAAGGCUUUGACGGGUAGCCGGCCUGAGAGGGUGACCGGCCACAUUGGGACUGAGAUACGGCCCAGACUCCUACGGGAGGCAGCAGUGGGGAAUAUUGCACAAUGGGCGGAAGCCUGAUGCAGCAACGCCGCGUGCGGGAUGACGUCCUUCGGGGUGUAAACCGCUUUCGCCUGUGACGAAGCGUGAGUGACGGUAAUGGGUAAAGAAGCACCGGCUAACUACG